CUAUAUGUAGUGGAGUGGAUAUCUUUUUAGAAAACACCGGCCACCUCGAUAUCCACGUGACCCUUCACCCUAGAUGGCACCUUGUGUCCGCGCAUGACAAGGCAGACCAACGUGGGCACUGUCCAUUCGACCGGCAUCUCUUAUCGCUGUAAUGUCCGUAUGUUACUGGACCUAAGUUGUCUCCACUCCCUUUUGUGCUUGGUUCUACACCAUGUGUUCACGUAUGGCUGCAGGUCUUUAGUAUAUAAUAAACAGUUUCGAAUCGUC